rnacentral:lncRNA from 1 species
AAUCGGACACGGCUGAGCGCCCACACUUGCUGCAAGGAGUAAUGAUUUCAGGCACAGAGACCUUGAUGCCUGCAGUCUUGGUUCUCAGCCUCGGUGCUGUGAACAUCCUGUUCAUGUUUGACUUUGUGCGACCCCAUGGACUGUAGCCCGCCAGGUUCCUCUGUCUGUGGGACUCUCCAUCAAGCAUACUGGAGUGGGUGGCCAUGCCCUCCUCCAGGGGAUCUUCCCAACCCAGGGCUUGAACCCACGUCUCCCGCAUUGCAGGUGGAUUCUUUACCAUCCAAGCCACCAGGGAAGCCCACAUGAACAUCCUGGCAGGCUCUUAAUUAUAUAAAAAAAUCAACAAAUUUAUUUACAUUGUGCUUACUGAGUGCCCAGUAGAAUGAUGAGCCCUUUAUGUCUAUUAACUUUAUAUAUAUGAUACCAAUAUUAUUAUUAACUUUUUAAUUUUUCCAACCAACAUGAGGUAGUACUAUUAUUAUCCCCAUUUCAUAGGUGAGGGAGCUGACAGUUCGUGACUUGCCCAAGGUCACGGCUAGCAAGCAGGAAGGCUAACUUUCUGCCAGCAGGUCUGUCAUGGGCGAGGAGACUUUGGGCUCCAAGGUGGACUCAUUGAGAGUACCUGGAAUGUCUUCCCCUACAGCUGAAGCUGGGCUGGUGGAGGCAUUCCUGGCCGACUUGGCUGCCUGUGACUGGGUUCAGUCAGAGCCUCAGCAUUGACUUACAGAUGCCCAUCACUGGACACCACAUCUCGGGCCACAGCAGGUCCGUGUGGAUCUGUGUCUGUGUACACCAUGGCCCCAUCUCCCAGCAGCUCCCAUGGCUUGUAUCCAUGGAAACGCAGUCCUCCCCACUCUAGCACUCUGGCUGAUAAACACUGGGAGUCUCCCCAGCCCCCCACCCACCUUGGAGGAAAAGCAUGGACCACAAGGGCUCCCACUGAGCAGGAGGAUACCAUUGACAGAGAAGGUGCUACUUUCUCAGUUGCUUUCAGAGUCAAGGCAAGGCCAAGCAUCCAGGCCCUUCCCCUGCUGGUCUGUGGUCAAGGCUUUGUUGUCUGUUUAAGGGAGAACAAAGUUGCCACCAGAUCUCAGAAGCAAAAGAAAGGGUCAUGGAAUCAUUCAAUGGACAUCGAUAGGGACCUCCCUGGUGGUCCAAUGGUUAAGAAUCCACCGUCCAAUGCACGGGACUUGGGUUCGAUCCCUGGUCAGGGAACUGAGACCCUACAUGCCAUGGGGCAGCUAAGCCAGCACGUUGCAACUGUAGAACCCAGGUGUCCUGGAGCCCCGAGACUUGCAACUAGAGAAAAGGCCAUGACCUGCAACGGAGGCUCCUACGUGACGCAACUGAGACCCAACACAGCCGAAAAUAGGUAAGUAAACAAAUACUUUUUUAAAAAGGACAUGGACAGUUACUGAAUAAGCACAGCUUGUGUCUCCUCUUGCUUAGGGCAAGCAGGGCUAGGCUGAUGUCACAGCGGCCACUCCUGUGGGCUCCAAGGGAGCAGGAGCCCCGUCCUUUCCCUCAGAACAUCCAGCGUGACUGAAGGACCCCAGGGACCCGCAGCUGCAGGGCAGCAAAGUCAGUCCCAACCUUCCCCCUCUGUUGCUCACCCCACAUAUCUGUCUUUUCCCUGUGGGGAAACAGGAGGACUAGAGGUCUAGAACCUAAGUUCUAAGGACUGUCCGGUCCACUUCUGGCUUCCAGACCCCGUAGGUCCUUUUCUUUAAGCCCCAGGGAGGCUGGGGAGCCAAGAUGCUUAAUUUGUUGUCCCGGAGCAAAGUCACACUGACCCUGGGAGGUAAAUACUAUCAUUCUCCCCAUUUCACAGAGAAGGAUACUGCGGCCCAGAAGAUUUUGGGACUGGCCCAAGGUGCCCCAGGUGUGGGUGGCAGAGCUGGGGUAUCAAUUCAGGUCAGUGGCACUCCAGGGCCCCGCUCUCUCGCUGCUCUGCACACCGCCCUCAGGAACUCCGGUGAACCUCCUCAAAUCCUUUGGGAAGCAGAGAAGAUAUAAAUAGCACGUGGGAUUGGGGAGAGAAAACAGCAAGUUGCAGAACCAUACACACAGGAUGAUUGGAGCUGUGUGCAAAACAGCCUCAGAAUGACAUGUGCCGAUGUGUAUACACGUAUAUGAGAGGAAAUGCACAGAAGUAGGCCUGGGAGGAGACCUCUGCUGCUGCUUGAACCAUGUUCAUCUCUGGGUAGGGGAGGGGAGAUGGGGCACGGGGGCUUGUUCCUUCAUCAUCCAAUAUAUUUCUGAAUUGG